GCCAUUAUAGCUUAGUUGGUAGAGCAACUCAUUCGUAAUGAGUAGGUCAUCGGUUCGAUUCCGAUUAAUGGCU
rnacentral:tRNA from 1 species